rnacentral:rRNA from 1 species
AUGAAGCCUAGCGAAGAAUCUGGGCAUUGGUGCUUGAUUGUUCUGAAUUUGAGGUUCCGUCAUUUUGAGUGUCUUGAUUCACUGCGCGAUGAAACCUGGAGUGAUGCAGUUAGAUUCUUAAGGAAUAUGACAGAUAACAUAAAGAAGGUUUGGAGGGAGUCUAGCGUAGACAGGGCGAAACCGUUCUCGCCGGCGCAUAUUGAUGGUUUCUCUUGCGAGUUUGUGCGGGUGCCGCAGCAGAAAAACACCCACGAAGACAUUCUUGACAUUAGGAAGACUUUUCUGUACACCUGCGCAACUAGCGAUGUGUUUGAUGUUGACUUCCGUGGUUUGUUUGGCAUCGAACCCUGUGAGUGGCUGGAUCUUAAUGAGCAUGACUACAAGAUCUUUGGCAGUCAGUUCUCGGAAAGGUCUAGUGUUCUUAAGGGGCGGUUGGGAGCUCUGAAAGGUUCUACGGCUGCUUGUGCAGAGAGCCCCUCUACACCCAAGAAUCCCAUUGUGGAAUUGAUAGACAGCGAUGAUGAUGCGUUUGGCAAGAUUACUGGCAUGGGAAGAGUCACCAGGAGUGCUGCUGCUGCCAAGGGUUUAUCCCCACUUGCUGGAAUAGUGGCUCGCAGAGCUGGUGGUGCUAGGAAGGAUCCUGCUUUGGAUUCUAGCAAUGUUACAAGCACAAAGCGUGCACCCAGGGCUCCUAUAAAGUUUUGCUCCCCUAUGCAGCAGCUUCAGCCACAUAUAUUCCCUCACCUGGACAAGGCUCGCAAGUUGUAUAAUCUGUUGCUUAGCGAUGAAGCAUGUGAGAAGUAUGCCGACUGA